UACAGGGGGGGCAAGCGUUGUUCGGAAUUACUGGGCGUAAAGGGUUCGUAGGUGGCCACUUAAGUCAGACGUGAAAUCCCUCAGCUUAACUGGGGAACUGCGUCUGAUACUGAGUGGCUUGAGUGCAGGAGAGGAAUGCGGAAUUCCAGGUGUAGCGGUGAAAUGCGUAGAUAUCUGGAGGAACACCGGUGGCGAAGGCGGCAUUCUGGACUGUAACUGACGCUGAGGCGCGAAAGCGUGGGGAGCAAACAGG
rnacentral:rRNA from 1 species